rnacentral:rRNA from 1 species
UACGUAGGGGGCAAGCGUUGUCCGGAUUUAUUGGGCGUAAAGAGCGUGUAGGCGGCCAUUCAGGUCAGCUGUGAAAACUCGAGGCUCAACCUCGAGACGUCGGUUGAAACCGUUUGGCUAGAGUCCGGAAGAGGAGAGUGGAAUUCCCCGGUGUAGAGGUGAAAUUCGUAGAUAUCGGGAGGAACACCGGUGGCGAAGGCGGCGAUCUGGGUAGAUACUGACGCUGAGGUGCGAAAGCGUGGGGGAGCAAACAGGG